rnacentral:tRNA from 3 species
GGGGUCGUAGUUCAGUUGGUUAGAACGUUGGCCUGUCACGCCAAAGGCCGCGGGUUCGAGUCCCGUCGACCCCGCCA